rnacentral:rRNA from 1 species
UCCAUCAUUCAGUUGGGGCUUAAGGUACCGCCGGUGAUAAGCCGGAGGAAGGUGGGGAUGACGUCAAGUCCUCAUGGCCCUUACGCGCUGGGCUACACACGUGCUACAAUGGCGACUACAGUGGGCUGCGAACUCGCAAGGGUGAGCGAAUCUCCAAAAGUUGUCUCAGUUCGGAUUGUUCUCUGCAACUCGAGAGCAUGAAGGCGGAAUCGCUAGUAAUCGCGGAUCAGCACGCCGCGGUGAAUACGUUCCCAGGCCUUGUACACACCGCCCGUCACACCAUGGGAGUUGGUUUCACCCGAAGGCAGUGCGCUAACCCGCAAGGGAGGCAGCUGACCACGGUGGGAUCAGCGACUGGGGUGAAGUCGUAACAAGGUAAC